GAUGAAGAACGUAGCGAAAUGCGUUACUUGGUGUGAAUUGCAGAAUCCCGUGAACCAUCGAGUCUUUGAACGCAAGUUGCGCCCGAAGCCAUUAGGCCGAGGGCACGCCUGCCUGGGCGUCACACGUCGUUGCCCCCCCAUCUAAUCCUUCGGGAUUGCGGGGGGCGGAUGAUGGCCUCCCGUGCGCCUCGUCGCGCGGUUGGCAUAAAUGCCAAGUCCUCGGCGACGCACGCCACGACAAUCGGUGGUUGCGAAACCUCGGUUGCCCGUUGUGUGCGGUCGUCGCGCAUCGAGGGCUCGAAAAAAUUGCCGGGCUCCGGCUCGACUUUCAACGCGACCCCAGGUCAGGCGGGGUUACCCGCUGAAUUUAAGCAUAUCAAUAAGCGGAGGA
rnacentral:misc_RNA from 1 species